UUGCCACAUUUAAUUAAUUAUUUAAUGUUGUAUUUAAUUAAUUCAUUAUGGCAGUCCUGGCGUUCCAUGGAUCCUGCGAGAUCUUGCGCUGAUUGCUCACGACCAUAAAAGAAAGCAUUCUAACUUGUUGCCUUUUAGUUGUGAAUGCAGACCAGAGAAGACACUACACCGAGGUCACACUUCCAGCUGUGGUGCACAUGUGGGAAGUUCUGUUGUGAUGAGGUGAAAGCUCUGCGCUGUCAGAUGAUGCAGCGAGAAGGAGAAUUAAAGAACUAUUGGCUGGCGUUCAGGAACAGUUAGUGGAUGGACGGCGUUCAUGUGAGUGAUUUUCUAUUCAGCUGGACGAAUCCACAGACAUUUCCAGUGCAGCUUAAUUGAUAGCUUCGGCUCUAUCCCUGGGAAAGACACAGUUUGGAGGAUGUUCUGUUGUGCGAGGAGGUCUCUGGCAGCACAACUGAUGAGGAAACAUUUAGACUUUUAUGACUGAAUGAAGACUGAGCUGUUUGUGUGGAUGGUGCAGCAGCAAUGAUAGAGCGGAGCUGCAGCACAGAUAAAGUCCAUCAAUGCAAGGAUCAUGGCUACCCUCUGUAUCCUGCAUCGACAAACACCAACUUCCAAAGACUUGGAUCCAGAUGUUCACUCUGUUUUUAACACAGCUAUCACUGCGGUGAAAUCCAGCUUUGGUGAAAUCUACGUGACGCACUGCGAGAUCACUCAGCGAGUAAUACGACUCACGUAUCAGUGACGGGCUGUCACUGACGCCUGUGACUGGACACGAGGACUCUGAUAUAACGGAGUUCAAAUCAGAUUCUGUAUUUGUAAGAGUGCCAUCUGUUGGUGAGGAAAUGGCAUCACAGGUAACGGUCACUAUACGGGACAUUUACAGUAGAAUAAGGGACCAGCCAAUUUUGGGACAGUUGGGAACUCUACAGGUCACGUCUGAAGAAAACAGACCUGCUGAGAAGAAGGAUACAAGAUGGAAGAACAGACAUGUUCCCACAGCUGACUGAGUUUCUGAACAAAGAGAAAGUGUCUGUUGUGAGGAACGUUGUAACCUGAUGUAGCCGGAUGGGCUACUCGCCUUUCUUUUCUCUCUCUCGCUCGCUCUCUCCUGCGCUCGCUCUCACUGCACAACUAGGUUAAUUGGGAACCCACCUUCAUAUCGAUUGCAGGCUGGCAUCAGGUAUAAAGCUAAGCCGGUGCUUCUCUUGAUCAUUCCUCCCAUGCAUUCAGCGCAAAGCAGCAGUAAAUGCUGGUACUCUGCGACAGACUGAUCAGCAAGAGUAGAUCAUAUGACAGCCACAGGUAUGCUCUUGCUUAACCUCAGAUUCCCUCCCAGUAUUGGAAUGUAUAGUAAUAGUUUUUGCGGCCUGUUGUAGCGCGGCAGUUUGUUUUAUUCCGGCGUUGCGGAGAGAGGUGCUCGUGUGAUCCCCACCAGUGAGAGUAUAGCGCCUCCGGUCCUGGGGGUUUGAUCGCUGCCUUCACCUCCGUGGCAACUCGCACAGCCUUAAUUGAAGAAUCAAGACGCCUGCCUAGCCGUUGUUGUGAGGGCUCCUCCUCGGUGGAGCCUGCUGUCUUGUCUUGUCUGGUUUUGAAUUGUUGUAUCUUGUCUUAUCUUGUUUUAUUAAGUAGGCCUACCAUUUCCUGGUUCGCCUGGUUUUAUUUUAUUUUAUCUCUGGACUGUUGCCUGUGCCCACGCUUCUGUGAUCGGGCUGAAGCAAUCCUUUGCCCGAGUGUCGUGCCGGGGAUUUUAAAUUGCCUCCGUUGCUGGUCUUAGCCUGUGGGGAGCCAGACCAGCUUGCGAUUGAGGCUGGGACAAUUACUACCAGUACGAGUGGACCCGUGGGGCAUAAGCCUUCCAGUGUGUGGACGAAGGACGUGCCAGUGGCCCUGGGACCUCAGGUGGUGGGUCGUUUUCACACUUUCUUUUGUACAGCACCUGGUGGGCUGCAGUGAUUUUCUUUUUGUGUGAUUUUCUUUUUGAGUCCACGGCUGCUGGUAAGUCCAAGUUCCAUGAUUGUUUUAUUUUCACUUUAGGACACUGUCAACAAUGACGCUACAUCUUGGUUUCUAAAUAUUUUAUUUAUUUUUACUAUAAAUAAAACUGUUUUAAUAUUGGAGCCAACCUGCCUCAGUGUGCAUCCCUUGAAUCUGUGCGGCCUCUUUUAUUCCUUUUUAUCUAUUUUUCUUAAACAUAUAUUUCCUGGGGGUGAAAUUCCCCUAGGUGGCGUUGUCAUUUUAUUAUUUCUUUUAUAACCCCGCCGACCACUUGGUCACACUAACAUCACUGUGUGAGCUCUGCAGCUCACACUUCUGUGACGUGAGCACUGAUGCCUGAGACUGGGCGCGUCGUCCAUUUUCACCAGCUGCAGCAGAACAUUGCAAACAUGCAGGGCAGAAGAACAGCUUUUAGAAGGAUCCUGGGAUAGAACAUGAAGGCCAGUCAUGCAAACGUUUGGACCUCCCUCUCACACCAGUGUCCUGAACUGGCUGCUGAGGCCAUGCAAGCAUUGCUCCUCUUUCCUUCACUUACCUCUGUGUCAUCAUUGUCAUCUUUGACUGUGAUGAAGAACAAGGACAGGUGGAAGAUGUUAGAGUGUGUUUGUCAUCCAUCCCUCUGAGAAUAGAGAAACAGGCUCACCAACAGUUAUUAUUGUUGGUGAUGACUGGAUGGUCUGUGUGUAAUAAAGCCUCAAGCAAAUAUUCAUGAUAAGUAAAGAAGGCUAAGGUUUUCAGUGCUCUGUUUGAAUAAGGGUAUGAUGUCCAUUGUGUUAAAACUGAACCAGUUAAAAAGUCUUUAAACUGCAGUUCAAACGAAACAGCUUCACUGGAAUGGUCCCAGUUUUUUCACUCUUAAUUUUUUGGAAACUUUCUGAUUUGUUAUUUGAAAAAGAAAAACGCUGUGAGUUCAAAUAUUUUUUUAUAUUUAUAAGUUUUUAUUUCUUUGGGACUAACUAUGUAGAAAGGUUUAACAUAUAAAUAAUUCGUACAGUAUCUAGGAAUACAAAAGGCAGUUAUAUGAGUAUGAGGAUUAUUAGGGGUCCCUGGGCCCCAAAUGUUUGAGGACCCUGUUUUAUUGACCCCACAAAGAUUUUUGUGUUUCAGCAGGAUGAUAAAGAGUAACAGUAGUGCAGUCCACAACACACAAUCAAUAAACAAACGUUUAAAGUGCCAGGCGUCUGUAAGGAGCUCAUACAGUGAGUUUGUAUUUUGAGUUAACUGGAUCACUGUGAUGCUGUGAAUUAAAACAGAAUCUGUCUUAGCUGCUACUAAUCUAAAAUUCUCCUCUGACAAAUUCACAUUUAUCCUAUUCCAGUGUUUGUCUUAAUUUUUGCUACUGUAACUUUGCACUCUCCACUAUCUGCUGUGAGACAACUAAUUUCCCAUGUGUGGGACUAAUAAAGGUGAUCUUAUCUUAAACUGGCUUUCGCUGUGGAGGCUUCAGAGACUCAUCUCUGCGUUUUGCAGAUGAUGUGGUUUCGCUGGCAGCCUCCAGCUCUCGCUGAAGACGUUUGCAGCCAUGUGUGAAGAAGCAGGAUUGAUAAUCAGGGACAAGUCGCUGCCCCGAGUGGAGGAGUUUAGGUAUCUCAGGGUUUUGUUUGAGUGAGGCAGAUGGAUUUGGGCCCUGGCAGCAGUGAUGUGGACGCUGCACAGGUUUGUCUGAAUGCUGUUCACCGAACUUUAAAUGCGCCUCAGUGAGACGGCUUUUAAAGCCAUCAGCUGCGACUGAACCAGCUGCUAACGGAUUUGCACCGAGUGGCAGGAUCCCUGACAGAUUCCUGCUGCUGACAGGACUUUCCUUUUUGCGGCUCUUUUCUUCAUGUGUUCAGAAUUUUCCUCUGUGUUAUUUCUCAUUAUUACACAUAACUUAAUUUAUGGCCAUCUAUGGUUUGAUUUCUUUCAAUGUGGAUUGGAUGAGCUGUUACCAACAUCUGGUGAGAAUUUGAUGUCAGUGGCACCUUUAGAAAUAUAAUUUCCUUUUUAUGAACACUGAAUCAGGAAGCUGCAUCCACCUGCUCUGCUUCUCACAGAGAGCAGAAUAAUAGUAGCAUAGCUCAGCUCAGAGCCCACAUUAAUGAGUUCAAGUAGCAGCAGCAGGUGAGUGAACUGAAUUCUGCUGAGAGCGUCUUUGUCCAGCAGAGGGCCCCGGAGAGUUUGCCAUGACUAAGGAGCACCUUCAGAGUGGAUUUCAGGUGAAGCUCCAUCAGCAGUGUUGGGCUGGUUUGUUUCUCUGUGUCUUGCAGCCAGUUUGAGGCUCUGUGACUUUUAAUAAAUGUCCAACGAUCACAUGAAGCUUUCAGGGACAGACAUGCGAGGACCAGAGUGGAGCACAGUUCUUCUCCAAGAAGAUUCCUACGAUCACUGAGUUUGGGUUUCUGUGGAGGUCUGCCACACAAAGUGCUCCAGAACAACUAAAUUUAAUGUCAGGGGGUAUAAAAACUGAUGCAGGCUGACGAAGCACAGUGUGACAGAGCAGCACCUGUUUUACAGUCACGUGAAGAAAAUCCAAACUCUCAUUCUAACGUGGAUUAAAAUCGUGGCCUGUGGUCGGCCACACAGUCACACCGUGAAGAUGAACAAGUGUGGCUGUUAGACGUGCUGCAGGAGAACGCCUCUUCUCUCUAAAAGAACAUGUUAGCAUAGCUUAGGUUUGCAAAGACUUCAGGAACAAACGAGACCAAAGUGGAGCUUGUCGUGGAAUUUUGUAAAUAAAGGCAGGAGAACACACAUACACAUCAAAACAUAGCAGGUUCAUAGUAACGAACCUCUAACCUCGGGGCGUCGCAGCGCCCCUUUCAUACCAUCGCACAAACUCUGUGUAUCUUUUCAGUUACAACAGUCUUUUGUCCAACCCGGGCUGUUGUUGAACACAGAAGACUCCCACUAUCCUUUCCCAGGCCAGCACCUGCCGCUGGCCCUGAGCUUCAUCCCUCUGAGCAAAACAGUUUGCAGAUAACAUAGUGAAACAUCGUUAGGCCUAGCUAAGCAGUUUUCACAAGGUCAUGCUGACACAUACUUGCUUCAUCUUAAGCAGGCAAAGGUUAUACAAGAGUCAUACAGUGAGAUUCCAAACACAUAAAUUUAAUGUGAGGAUAAACUAGAAUUUUCCAUAAGAAGAUGUUUGUCUAAACGCACAGCACGUUUGGAGGAAACAGCUGUCAGCAGCUGUCAGCACAGCAGUGGAAGGAUGAUGAUCUGUGUGGACCAUGAACUGUAUACCAAAGUAGUCAGUGUGAGGCCGUCUGUCCCACGGCUAAACUGGGUCAUCAACAGGACAGUGAUCCAAGCACAGCAGCAGACUCUCCAACACAAUGGCUGAAAAAGGAAAGAAUGGAGCUGCUGCAGAGGUCUGAUGCUGGGGUCGGACCUCCAGACAGCUCUGCAUAUCUCAGCUAAGGCUUGUGACAGAGCUGUCGAGUUUGUUAGUCACGUGUCAUAACGAAUGUGUCGACAUUUUGUAAAGGUUAAAUCAACAGCAUACAACAUUUUUGUGAAUGUUUUUAUGUUGUCAUAUAAUACGCUUUAUUGUUUAUUCUCUAUUAGAACACCUUACUGUGAAAAAUGAUUAUUUUAUGUUGCUUUGUACAGAUCUCACAGCAUCGUUGGUGCACCUGUGUCCAAUAAAUGCAGAACAGGGAAGAAAGAUGAACCAAUAGGAAUGUUUGAGACAUGAUGGAAAGGCUUCACCAAACUGGUCACUCUUGGCCUCCCUCCUCUCACAUGUGCCUGGAUAAAGGAUUUCCUCACAAACCGGCCCCAGACUGUGAGACUCGGCCCUCAUCUCUCCUCCACUCGCACACUGAGCACCGC